UACGGAGGAUGCAAGCGUUAUCCGGAUUUAUUGGGUUUAAAGGGUGCGCAGGUGGUUGAAUAAGUCAGUGGUGAAAGUCUGCCGCUUAACGGUAGGAUUGCCAUUGAUACUGUUUGACUUGAGUUUAGGUGAGGUAGGCGGAAUGUGUAGUGUAGCGGUGAAAUGCAUAGAUAUUACACAGAACACCGAUUGCGAAGGCAGCUUACUAAUCUACAACUGACACUGAGGCACGAAAGCGUGGGGAUCAAAC
rnacentral:rRNA from 1 species